GCCCCCUUGGCGGAAUUGGUAGACGCGCUUGACUCAAAAUCAAGUGGCCUUUGGUCGUGCUGGUUCAAGUCCGGCAGGGGGCACCA
rnacentral:tRNA from 1 species